GGAGCCUUCGUGGGUGGGGCUCGAAAGGAAAGGGGCGGGACCCAGCUUGGGUGUCCGCGCUGCUACCAGGCGGGAAGUGGAGACCCGCCUUCGACUUCAGAUAGGAAAUCUAAGAGAAGAGAAGCUGCUGCGGAGUCAUGCGCAACAACAGUAUCGCUUUGGAAGAACCCAGAGAACAGAGUUCAAGCUUAUCAAAAGAUCACCAAACAGCUACAGCAGCCCUGGAGCCAGUCUCCAGGGUUUAUCAUCUGGUGCAUAAAUGCCAUACCACAGCUUUCUCCUUGAAGAGAAGAAUCCUGCCGCCCUUGCCUGUACCCCACUGAAAUCGAGUCUCAAGCUUAGAAAUCGGUCAAUCAGUUAAAACCCAAGUAGGAGCAUGUCUCUGUUGUGCUCACAGCCCUCCAACUCAGACUAAAAAAACCCAGAGCCUUUACCAUGGCCUUCACAGACUCACCUGAUCCGGUGCCAGCUUCCUGUCUGACUUUAUUGCACAAGAUCCCUUCCUUGAACAGAUGAAGCAUUCUCCUGCCUCAGGACCUUAGCACUGGCUGUUCCUUUGAACUGCAUUCUCCUCCUUCAGUCACGUUUCAUUUUCUUUACGAAAUAAACAACUGCCAAAGAUGGCUUUCCUGACAAUUUUAUGUAAAAUCACA